rnacentral:rRNA from 1 species
UGAUUACUUCAAUGGCCGCGGUACCCUGACCGUGCGAAGGUAGCACAAUCACUUGUCCUUUAAAUAAGGACUAGUACGAAUGGCACCACGAAGACUACACUGUCUCCUUUUUACAAUCAGUGAAACUGAUCUUCCCGUGAAGAAGCGGGAAUUAUUCUAUAAGACGAGAAGACCCCAUGAAGCUUCAAAUAAGUAUCAACUGUUAACUUUACACCACCAGAUACCUAAUAGCCGUGACUACUAAUUUUUGGUUGGGGCGACCACGGAGUAAAACAAAACCUCCACAAUGAAAAGACCUAACCCAUUAUUCAAGAACAACAGUUCUAACAAUCAACACAUUGACAUAANUUGACCCAAACCCUUUGAUCAAUGAACCAAGUUACUCUGGGGAUAACAGCGCUAUCUAUUUCAAGAGUUCAUAUCGACAAAUGGGUUUACGACCUCGAUGUUGGAUCGGGGUAUCCCAGUGGUGCAGCCGCUACUAAAGGUUCGUUUGUUCAACGAUUAAAACCCCACGUGA